rnacentral:misc_RNA from 1 species
GAUGAAGAACGCAGCGAAAUGCGAUACGUAAUGUGAAUUGCAAAUUCAGUGAAUCAUCGAGUCUUUAAACGCACAUUGCGCCCCCUGGUAUUCCGGGGGGCAUGCCUGUCCGAGCGUCAUUGCUGCCCUCAAGCACGGCUUGUGUGUUGGGCCCCGUCCUCCGAUCCCGGGGGACGGGCCCGAAAGGCAGCGGCGGCACCGCGUCCGGUCCUCGAGCGUAUGGGGCUUUGUCACCCGCUCUGUAGGCCCGGCCGGCGCUUGCCGAUCAACCCAAAUUUUUUAUCCAGGUUGACCUCGGAUCAGGUAGGGAUACCCGCUGAACUUAAGCAUAUCAAUAAGCGGAGGA